rnacentral:rRNA from 1 species
CCUACGGGUGGCAGCAGUGGGGAAUAUUGCGCAAUGGGCGAAAGCCUGACGCAGCGACGCCGCGUGAGGGAUGAAGGUCUUCGGAUCGUAAACCUCUGUCAGCAGGGAAGAACGGUCACUUUGCUAAUCAGCAGUGAAUUGACGGUACCUGCAAAGGAAGCACCGGCUAACUCCGUGCCAGCAGCCGCGGUAAUACGGAGGGUGCGAGCGUUAUUCGGAAUUACUGGGCGUAAAGCGCUCGUAGGCGGUAUGUCAAGUCAAGGGUGAAAUCCCCGCGCUCAACGUGGGAACUGCCUUUGAAACUGGCAAACUGGAGUGUGUGAGAGGAUAGUGGAAUUCCAGGUGUAGGAGUGAAAUGCGUAGAUAUCUGGAGGAACAUCAGUGGCGAAGGCGACUAUCUGGCACAUAACUGACGCUGAGGAGCGAAAGCGUGGGUAGCAAACAGGAUUAGAUACCCGGGUAGUC